UACAGAGGUCUCAACCGUUGUUCGGAUUCAUUGGGCGUAAAGAGCGUGUAGGCGGCCAGAAAAGUCCGCUGUGAAAACUCGAGGCUCAACUUCGAGCUGUCGGUGGAAACUUUCUGGCUAGAGUCCGGAAGAGGAGAAUGGAAUUCCUGGUGUAGCGGUGAAAUGCGCAGAUAUCAGGAAGAACACCCGUGGCGAAGGCGGUUCUCUGGGACGGUACUGACGCUGAGACGCGAAAGCGUGGGGAGCGAACAGG
rnacentral:rRNA from 1 species